ACCUGUGUCUGCCCAGACUUACCUCAGUGAUGGAGUGUGACCUGAGAGUUCUAAGCUGAGGGGAAACUGAGGCUGAGAGAUGUCUGCUGCAAACACGUCUCCACCCACUAUGACCUGAGUGUGCCCCCGGGGCUCACUCUCCCCUGGCCUGCAGUGAUUUUUCUCUGGGUGUGCUGGAGAGUGGAGAUGGGAAAAGCUACAGUCUCUGAACCCAACUGAAACAGGCUGCCCUGCACUCUGGACAGACCGAUCCCUGGCAGUGGCAGGUGUAUGGAUCUGCAAGUGUGUGCAUGUACCUGAGCAUCCCACGGAGUGUGUGUGGGCUUGAGAGAAGGUACCCACCUUCUGUCAGCUAUCAGCUGACUUCACUUAAACAGCAGGGGAACAGAAGAGAGGAUGGGAAUGCUGGCUGGGACAUUCACAGACACCUUCCGAUCUGAGCUUCCAGGAUGCUUGGCCUCCAGUUCUAGGAAAGAUGGAGUCUGGGCACCAGUCAAGCAACCAUAGAGACACAAACCCAAGGCAGUCAGAGUCACAAUGACUGGGAGGAACAGCUGGGAAAUGGCUUCAGGGCCUGCCUGAGCCAGGAGCCACUGGCCCAAGAGGCUUCUUUAGGCCACAACUGAAACAUAGGAAAAGAUGGCCUCCUGAGAGCUAGCUGCAUUACUGUGAGUUCAAGGGAAGAACAGGAGAGAAGAGAUGAAGACAUCUAUCUACCAGAGUCUGGGGACAAGAGGGAGGAUGUCACUCUGGCUGGGGCCACAGAGCCUGUGGAAAGCUGACACAUCCCUCCCCGUUUCAGCCCUGCUCUUUAGAAUGUCAGAGGGGAAGUGUAAUUAAGGCCAUGCAGCUGUGAAGGAUUAGUAUUCCAACCUGGAAAGCCUGAGUUUUAAUUAGUAAUUAGGCCUUUUCUGCAGAGCCUGCAAACAAGCAGAGGUUUGGUGACCUUUCUUCUCCUGAAGGCACGGUGACAGCCUGGCUGACACGCUGAUACACCUAGGGGCUUUUUCAGAGAGGCCUGGACGAGGCACAAAAGCAGCCUUACUCUUCAUGGUGGGGCCGCCAGUAAGGGGCUCCUGCAGAUCCCUGCUCCCUACCUGGCUCCCAGAGCUUACAGCCAGCACCCCCAAACCCAUCUGGGCCCUGGAAAUGACAGGUCUGGUGGCUUCUUCAACAUGAGCCCAAGGUCACCACAUUUCCAUCAGGAGUCCCUGCAGAUGGGAAUCAGGAUGGGUCUGUGUCCAGAAGGCAAGUGAGCAGGACCUAGAGGAACAUGAGCCCUUCAGCUGGGCUCCUAGAAUCACAUGGCCCUUCUGCUCCGUCUUGGCUAUCUAUCACCAUGUACAAAAAAAAUCACCAGGCUUUUUCUGGCAGGCCUGACUCCCAACCUGUUCCCAAGAUGUUAGGAGAGGCCAUGAACCACAUGGGGUCUGUUGGCCAAGCCAUGACCAGGACCCAGGGCUACAGCUCCCAACUACUCUGCCCCAAGACAGGCCUCUGAACCCUCCUGUAGCUGCCUAGCCCCUGUUUGACCACAUUGCCCAGCCAUCAUCAUAAGGGACACACUUGCACCUAGGGUGUACUGGCCCACAUGGGCACAGAUGCCUUCACACCAUCCCAGGAAAGCACAAGCCCUGGGACACCACUCGGGUCUAACCUAUGCCUCUCAGGGGACUCAGCCAAGGGUCUCAUUAGCUCUUGUCCACUUUGUGGGGUCCUGUAGCUAUGACCAGCAUGUCACAGGACAUGGACACUUAUGAUGCUUCCAAGUGUCUGUAUGCACCUCUCAGAGAGAGGACAGACCUGUUUGAAUUCAACAUCAUGGUCACAUUAAGGUUUUUUUGAGGACCUCUGUGUUUGUAUGUGUCCCACUCAAAAGGCCAGUGGGGCAGGUGACUCUGAAGCAUUGCCCCUGGUGGGUUAUUUGUCAGCACAGCCUGGGCUGGCUGGAUGCAGGUUGUAAUAUCAUAGACAACACAAUACAGGUCUAUUCCUGUAGCUCAUCCUUGCUGCUCAUUCCCAGCAAAGAGCCCUUCCCUGAGACCCAUCAGGCUAGGCCCUGGGGGGACAGUAGGAGGGAGGAGCCCCCCCCCCCCUUCACCAGAAUGAUGCAGUCUGCAGACUUCAUAGUAACUCAGAAGUGAGCUCUCCCUUCCAGCACCAUAUAAACUUUAAUUGGGCUUUUUAAAGGUCACGAAAACAAAUACUUUCUCAUAAAGAAACCAUUUGGGCACGCUCAAAAACGCACAGGUAACUGUUAGUGUGAGUUGAUUGUUCAUGCCAGGGAACAGACGUCUCUUGCACACAGGCAUAUCCGUACCUGGUGUACCCCACCUCUGGGCAUGGGGCUACUGUAACCAGCCAUGAGACUAAGGCUGGCACUGUGGGGUAGGCUGAGGUAGGAAGAGUACCUUGGGGCUGGAGCUUCACACAGCCCUUCACGUCUCCGCCCCUCACCUUCCUCUGUGUCACAGACUUGUUGGCCUUUCAACAUCUGAGACGCAUAUAUUCUCAGAUGGGGAAACUGAGGCCCAGUGGGGUUAAGUCAUUCAAAAAGUGACUAUACCCAGUCCAGUCUCUGUAACUCCCAAGUGCGACAUUCAGAAGAGAUCAGUGGUGCUGGAGAGGAGGGGCUGCUAACAUGCACAGCACAGAGUCUGCUCCAGCACCACACUCUGCAGCAUCACCAGACAGGGACAGGAUUCACUUUCAGGAGGGACAGGAUGUUUGGUUUAGUUCUGAAGACUGGAGAGGGUAUAAACAGGAGAGCCGGAGGCAGCUGCCGCUCCCCCUGCUGCUGCUGCUUUUGCUGUUGCUGAAUUUCUGGUUGGAGCUAUCCUGAUGACAGAGAUUGGACUUGUCACCAAGGAACGGGACACCCCUAAUGAGCAGGACGUAGUCUAAAGAGGCACGUUCACCCAGAACUAUGGAGUCGGUGUCUGUGGAAAGCCUACAGUCCAGCUCACGCUAGCUUUCUCAUGCUGCUCAAAACAUGACAGCCCCAGUGGCUAUCUAUCUGUAACUAGCCCACCAACCCACAGGCCCCAGCUCAGCAUGGAACUGGACCAACUCCUGACGGACUACCCAGCACUGAGUCACAGCGGCAUCGUGCUGACCCAAGGGAGCCACAGAGUCCAACUACUGAAAAUACAAGCCAGUCCCUAGAGGUCAGGAGUCAGCCCAGGAAGCCUGGAAGGACAGGCAGUAGGGAAGGAGAGAUGGAGGCAUGGUGGGACACAGAAGUCUCAGGAGAGGGAAGGGGACAUUUAUUAUGGUGGCAGAGGUACCAAUCCAUGAGGAAGACUUUCAAGGCUGUGAGCAGUGGCCCUCGGUGUCAAGGUCAUUUUAGGAUACCUUACUAUGGAGACUUGUUUUUGGUGACCAGGAACGCCCAAGCUUCAGACCACUCCUGACUUUUUCUCUAUUCAUGAUGAAUCUGUGCUGAGGACUUGUAACUCCCUUUGUUUUCCAGGACUUUGGGGAAUGCUACAGUCUUUCGGGGCCUUGGGUCACUCCUGUACAUUCCCCUGAGCCUCAUGCAUUCAGAAAGUCUUCCUGGCAUCCGAAGUCUGUGGGAAGUCUUCUCCAGUUCUGCCAGUUUAAUUUGUUUUAUUAACAUGAAAUAUUUGGGUUUGGGAUUCAAGGAUAACACUGAGACAGAUAGUCCUUUGUGGGGUAGGAAGUUAAUAGUUCCACGGUCACGAAAGACCCACAGUGUGAGGACUCCCCCACGUUCUGACUCAGAAGAGGCGACACCCCAAAUCACUCACGAGAAUCGGUCUUGAUGCAAACUGCAAGAGGUUUAUUCUGGAAAAACCAGUGCAUUGGGGACAACUCUUAUCCCACACAAGGGUAGAGGAGUCAACCAUGAGCUCAAGGGGGCGGGAAAACGAAGGACGAGACACAGACAAACAAGUCCAGUGCACUAGGGUUGACUUGUAUCCCACGCAGGGGUAGAGGAAUUGACAACAAGCUCAAGGGGUAAGGGAUUUAUAUAGACACACAAACCACAAACACCUGGCACUGGGCUAUAGAAAGGCAAAAACCACAAACACCUGGCAUCCUGGAACAAUGGGGCUAUUUUGGACACAGGUCUAGGGGCUUAAAUAAUUUUUUACUCUCUGUCAGGAUCUUUUAGUCAUAUAGAAAAGCAGACAAUGGCAUGAAGCAGACCCUAAUGAAAGUUCAGGAAGCAAGCGGGGUUGGGGGUGGGGGUGAGGAGUCCUUUUUGGGUCUCAGAGGAAAGGGGAAGGUUCCAAGAUACAAGCCUGUAGCUAGCUGUCCCUGAUUCCUGGGCAGCUGGGAGGAGGGGGCAAAUCCCAGGGAAGGAGUGAAAAGGUGGAAGGGAUAUCUGGUUGAGAGGUAGCUGGUGUGAGUGGGGGAUGUGCUGCCCUUUGAUAACCAGAGCCUGGCUGCCUGGUCUGUGGGCUUCCUUAGGGGGAAAUAGUGUCUGUCACUCCCUGACAUCAGACUAGGAAGGCUCUCUCUCUCUCUCUCUCUCUCUCUCUCUCUCUCUCGCUCGCUCGCUCGCUCUGGCUCUGGCUCUGGCUCUUGAUCUCUCUCACUCUUUCUCUUUCCCUCCUCCCCUCCCCCUGCUGCUCUCCUCUCCUCCUGCUCUCCCCCUCUCCCUUUUCCUCCCUCUCCCUGUAGCAAUAAGAAUCCCAGAAUCAACUGAGGAUGGAGACAGGGAGGGCUGAACUUGAGCAGUCUCUGGUCUGAUGUUCUAACAUAAGCCAUGUGUACUAAGCCACUGUGAUUAAAUGUUGUCUUCAGUGGUGACAUUGAUGACCCUCUUACCUGCUCUGCAGCAGUGGGAGGCUGUAGUCUUGAAGGCGUGGCACCUGGUAUAGAAUACAGAGCAGGUUCCAGGAACUACAUACAGGAAAACAUCUGCCACAUGUAAACAGACCAGGAUGUUUGUGACAUCCCUGUACUGUCGUGGGGUUGGGGUCAUUGAUAUUCAUCUGAAAUUAUGCUCAUAAACAGACAAAAACAAAGGUGCUGGCUUUUCCACCUAAAUACACAGCUUCCCAGCAAAAGUCCUCCUUGGGGGUAUCAGGCUGCCAACUCCUGACAGCCUCAUCCUGGGCAUAACUGUCUGGAGAAGUGGGGCAGCCUCUUAGGAUGACCUCAGAUCUGAGGAGUGACAUCUGCCCAGCAUGUGUCCUUGCACCUGAGGUAGGAACAAGACAAAAACCUCAGUGCAAAAGUAAAAAUAGCAGACCAUAGCAAUCCAGGGCAUGGUGCGGGCUAUAAUUAUAGACAUGGAGGCGGUUCCUUCUGAAGCCUACUGGAGGGCCAGGGGGAGUAGGCUGGUGUGUGGGGGUGAUGAUGCAGAGGAGGGGAGGCCUGGCCUCAGAAUCUCCUGACUUCAGAGUGCCCAAGAGACAGGCUAGCAGAAGGCCACAGGACGAAUGGACAGCAAGAACACAGGCUACAGCAAUUCUGCAAAGUGCUUAAAAACACUCGUCCUCUGACCUGCAAGACACUGUCCAAGAUACAAAACCUUGGCUGUGUAAGGGAACAAAAUUGCAUUGGAUUUUUGGUAAAAAUAGCAAGAGUAAUUUUGUUCAGGCUCUGGCAGCAGAUCGGAGAGUGUGGUGUGGGACUGAGAUCCACUCAAAUGCAGGACAGUAACAAGUGCCCAGAGUGAGAGCAGACUGGGGGAGGGGAAGCUACCGAGGAAUAAGCCUGCCCCUGCUAAAGGUGAGCUACUGUUUGGGAUGACAGCCGAUAGAAGUCAAAGAGUGGCUGGAACCAGAAACCAAGGGUGGAGGAGUCACAGCAGGGCAUGAUUGUGAAUGGCCAAGGUACAGGUCUAGCUCAAGUAGCUCGGAGGAGCCUGACUGAGUUAAGCCUUUCCAGGGUCGUCUCCACCAUGGCCUGGCCCAGGGAUAAGGUAUUCUGCAACUACAGACGAGGGAGCUGAUGGAAGGGGCAAGCAGCUUUUGCCAGGAUCCUGUCCCUAUGCAGUGCUGGUCCCUGGCCUUGCACCUGAGUCCUGGGUGAGCUUGGGUACCUUACUUUCUGUCUUAGUUACUUUUCUCACUGCUUUGAUGAGUCAGCCAACAAGAACAACUUAAGAAAGGAACGGUUUGUUUUGGCUCAUGGGUUGAGGUUCAUCCAAGAUGAUGGAGGUGUCCCCAAGUUUGGUCUGUUGCUAUGAAUUGCAAUGCUAAAUACUGGCCUCCAAGGUCUACUUGCCCCCCAGGAUGAGGAAAUCACAUACACUAAGUGAUGCUAUGUAACCUUGCUCCUUAAUUUAAAACUAUCUGUUGAAUAAAGAUGCCUACAACCACACCAGGUUCGGACUUCAAUGUAUACUUUGUGGGUUCAGUUCAACUCCACCACGCUUGUACAUGUAUGACUGGCUUCUGUCCCUGGACCAUUCCCCUUCUCCUUAAGUGAGGACUCUCUAGUAUGGAUUUAGUUCACUGAAGCAGACACAUGAGCGGAUGUUUUGCUGAGAACAGACACGUGGCGUUUUUCCGGAAGCUGUCUUGUGAGAGGGCAUGUGACGUUUUGCUGGAACAGACACUGGAGAGGGAACAUGGUGUUUAAAAUGAAUGAAGAAGUACCAAAGAGCUUUGUGUGGUAAUCUGGUUGCUUUGCGCCACUUCUGGGGACUUACGGUGACAUGGCAGAGCCUUACAGUUUCUUCUGGAUCAAGCCACUGCUACUGAAUCAUGUUGGGUGUUUUCCGAUUGGGUUGGACUGCCACUAUUGAUUCAUGGUGGAUGUUUUGGGCUGGACUGCUGAUAUCCUGACCACAAAAUUGAAAUCCCUCUUGUCCUACAAACCGUCUUCUUCCUCUACCUCUGGACAGUGGGAUAGAAGGGAAGUAAAGGUGUUUAAGAACCCUAAAUAAAGUAGGUUUUGA
rnacentral:lncRNA from 1 species